CCUCUGGGACGGAGAGUAAUACCGUAUGAGCCCUUCGGGGGAAAGAUUUAUCGCCUUUGGAUCGGCCCGCGUUGGAUUAGGUAGUUGGUGGGGUAACGGCCUACCAAGCCGACGAUCCAUAGCUGGUUUGAGAGGAUGAUCAGUAACACUGGGACUGAGACACGGCCCAGACUCCUACGGGAGGCAGCAGUGGGGAAUCUUAGACAAUGGGCGCAAGCCUGAUCUAGCCAUGCCGCGUGUGUGACGAAGGCCUUAGGGUCGUAAAGCACUUUCGCCAGGGAUGAUAAUGACAGUACCUGGUAAAGAAACCCCGGCUAACUCCGUGCCAGCAGCCGCGGUAAUACGGAGGGGGUUAGCGUUGUUCGGAAUUACUGGGCGUAAAGCGCGCGUAGGCGGGCUGUUAAGUUAGGGGUGAAAUCCCGGGGCUCAACCCCGGAACUGCCUUUAAUACUGGCAGCCUAGAGUUCGAGAGAGGUGAGUGGAAUUCCGAGUGUAGAGGUGAAAUUCGUAGAUAUUCGGAGGAACACCAGUGGCGAAGGCGGCUCA
rnacentral:rRNA from 1 species